rnacentral:rRNA from 1 species
ACUACCAUACCCACUGGAGAACUCGGGAUCCCGUCCGCUCUCCCAUAGAUAAGCCAGUGAGGGCCGGAUUAGUAGUUGGGUCGGUGACGACCAGCGAAUACCUGGUGUUGUAUG